UAACGGCUGCUCGGCGGAGCGGGGCCCGUGGCGGGGGGCGGGGGGGGCGGGCCGGUAGGCGCUGCCCCGCGGCGGGGAGGUGGGGCGCGGCCCCAGCUGCGGGCUGCCCGGGGGAGCGGCCGGUGAGGAGCGUGACGGGACAGCGGGCUGCGGUGCCCGGGGGCGCGUCGCCGGCCGGGGCGCGCGGCUGGGGCGGCGCCUGGUGAGCCCGCUGCCCUGCGCCUGCCGCCCGCGGGGUCCGGGGCGAGGAGCGGGGGGCGCCACCGCGGAGGGCGAGGUGUCGCCGCGGGGUCGGGGCCGUUACAGCCCAUCCGCCGGUUGGCCCGAACGCGGCGACUGCGCGGGGGCGGCGGGGAGUUAAAAGGGAAGGCUGCUGCGGAUGAACUGCUUCUGGGCCGUAAGAAAACGGAGAGAUCAAACUGUCAACGGAAGAACUUUUCGGGCGAGCAGGGGAUGACUGACUCGCCAGCAGGUACUCUAAUGCUGGGUGAUAGAUGACGGACAAGGAGCGCUGAAGGGUGAGUGCGGUGGCAAUGGCCAGGAGCCUUCAGGACAAUAAAACAUAGUUCUAGAGAUACUAAAAACGGUAAACAUGGAGGUACGAGUCUCACCUGCUACAAAAGCAGUUUAGGUAUGAGGCUGUUAAAGAAGCUCAAACAGUGGUUAAGCAUAAAAAGAAAGAGAAUGCCAGAAAGAAACAUCCCUUCCUCAGACCCCUUUCCUGGCUGCCACCUCUAAAGAUGUGACAUAGCUGCCGUCCCCAGCUCCUCUGGCAGCUGCAGCUGGAAGAGUUUCUGCUGGACCUGCUUCUGCUGUAGAAGAGAUACCCAGAACAAGAAGGAUCUUUCCUUGAUAAAAGCGCUGCUCACCAAAUAUUAUUUUUAAUUCCAAACAGUUGAAGAAGGAUAUACACAAUGGCUAUAAAAAUAACCAGGGCUUGAAAGUAAGCCUUAAAAUGGAAGGCUUAGAAAAUCUAGUGUUUUCGGUUUGUCAAGGAGAAGAAGAAUCAAUUGAUUUUAUUGUCCGGUGUGGGCUCCUAGACGCAAAAAGGAAGUUUUGGGAAACAAGGAUUACAUUUCAGAGCAGCUCCAGUGGGUGGUAUGCUGAAAAUAAGAUGGAUUUUGAGUUAAGAUGGAGUUUCCAAUUACUGAGACUAUUUAAAUGUUAAAGUUUAGCAGCAAGGGUGACAAAUUUACUGUUACUUUGAUUUGCUUGAAGUAGCUUUCUAGAAAAGCUUUAAUUCAGUUCUAGGGUGAGAUCCCGCAGACCAUCUAUUCAAGUGAGAGGAAAUCCCAGCUGUCUGCCCACGAGCCCAAGCGCAGGACAUCUCCAGCCUAGCCAUUUCUUCUUACUACCAACAGUGACUGUUACGGAGGCCAUUUAUUCGCGACUCCUGAAUGGAAGUUCAGUGCUGUACAGUCUGAAGCUGCACUGAGUACAUUCUCCCCUUUAGAAUAAGGAGGACCGGGGCUUGGGCAAUCACAGCCCAUGCGUUUUCAGGAUUUCGGAAAGGCACUGGAGGGUGCUGUGCUGAAAGAGAAGAAAUUUGCAGUUGCAGGACAACUUCCCAACCUCCAUAAGGUGAGGAACCGCUACCUCCCUUUUCUUUCCCCCAAGAUCGUGUAGGCCUUUUCCUGCCAUUAACAGCUUUGUGCCAUUUUCCUGAAGGAGGGGUUCAAUAGGUGCUGGUUUCCUUGAAUCCGACACAAACUGACAUAAGGAGUGUAGAGACAGUGCAACCUGAUGUAGGAAUGCGAAGUAGAGAUUACCCUGACAAUAUUAAAAUUUUAAAGGAUUGGUUGAACAUUACUAAAUGCGUAUUUUUGCUUUGUGAAGACAAGCCCUGAGCGAACCCCAGGCUGGCUCGCGAGGGCACGGGGACAGUGGAACUGCCUGCCCCAAGCUGUGUCUCUGUGGCCUUUCACAGGGCCACCUGAGCAUGGCUGCUUCCCAUCCUGAGCUGGCCAGAUGGAAGCCAGCUUGCAUCCAAAAGCUGGGGGGGUGUCAUCAGCACAAUGCUGUGUGCAGGCCAGCAGGCUUGGCAGGAUUUAUUAAUGCUGGAAGACGGGUGAGAGCAAGUCCCGAUCUAUGAAAUCUCCUGUGGCUCAGUUCUGAGGAGCACAAGUAGCCGGUGUACCCUCAUGGUACAGGCAGGUGCUGCAGAACCGCAAGAGGCACGGGGAAGCGAGGCAAGCCCCUUUGCAAAGCAUGCUUCAGGCACCUCUGCGAUACCUUCCAUAGAACAAAGGAGGUGGUCUUCGUUUUAAACAAUCAGUCUCAGGAAUUAAAAUAUUGCAUUUACAUUUCUUGUUUCUUGAAAGGGGAAGAUGUGUUAUCCUCAUUCAAGAUAUUGACAGGUAAGCAUUCCACUUCCCUGCACUGCAAACCUUGACAGUCUCCAAAGGAGCACCCAGAAAACGAACAGAAACAAGAUACAAGAACAAAACGCUGUUGUGCACAACCUUCCCAGCACCGCGCAGGGCUGAGUGAGGCCCACAUGGAAGUCGCUGUGACUGCCCUGUGCAGCAGUGGCUCCUUGAGCCGACUUGGGGGCCCAGGCUAUGGCACCCUCCCGGCACUCCCAACCUGAAAGCCACUGCUACGUUUGAUCCCUGUGUCACAGUAGCUACAGACUGAAGCAUGCUGUGUCAAUAAGGCGUGACUUCUACAUAGAGAUGAUACAGCAAAUUGCGAGGUAAGGAAAAAUGUAGCAAUCCAGAAGAUACUUAAGGUGACACACAAUAUCCCCCAUUUCAGUGUUACCCAUGCCAUUUCAGCAGCUUUCACACUUUCUCCAUUCUGCGUCACCCCAAACAUACAUCUGGAGGAAGGAAGAACAACAAAACUCUUAUCUGCGUUUUUUAUGUUUGUAACUAGUACAUAAAAAAUUCUCGGUAGAGUUCACCAGCUCAGAGAGAAGCUCAGCUCCUGCUGCUUCCCUCGCUGCAUGACUCCUGACUUGCUGCUGGCUACAGCCUUGGUGGUUGCUGCUAAAUCCUGCUUGUGGGAGAGGCUGUUUCUUAUUACCCAGGCUGUUUUGCUGCAGUUACCUACUCUUAUCAUUGUCUUUUCCUGUUCCCUUCAGCAGGAAUAGGGAGGCUUGAAGAGGGAAUGAGAAAGCUGAUUUUGACAUUCUACCAAUGUUAACGAACUUAUAACUUAAUAUAGUAAUAGAAAAUGGAAAAAAGGCGGAGGCAAAUCAAAAACCGAUCAUGUAAGAAUCUAGGCUUCUUGAUUUCUCAAAGUGUGUAACACCACAGCUUUACCAAUAUGAAUGAAACCAGUUGAUUUAUUCUAGGCCUUCAUAGCUUAUACAUUCAUAUCCCUUGAUGACUUUCUAGACUGUAACAGAUGACUGUAAGCAAAAUGUUCUUGUAAGAGAAAUCAUUAGUGACAAGGGUAGAAGUCAAGCAAAACAAGGCAGCAAGGGCCAGAAAAAAUGGAGCUGUAGCAAAUAUAGCAGCACACUGAUUUUUUUUUUCUGGAUGGUAAAGCUGAUAUGCUUGCUAAAAGUUUAAUAAUAAACUAUUUUUUCCCCCUGAAAUACCUGUUUGCACAGCUGAAAUCAUACUUUUCCUAACAGUAGAAACCUUUGGCUGAAUUUGUUAUUCAAAGUACGUAUUCCUGUAGAUUGGCACCUUGCUUACAGUAAACAAGCGGCAACAUCAGUAUACGAGAACACACAAACUGUAAUUUGCAUGUCUAGACUUCAUUAUUACAGCAUUUUAGUGCAACUUAUCCCAGACAUACAAGUCAAUGUAAUUUAACACUUCAUUAUGUCUGCUGCUGCUUUCCCAAGCAAAAUCAGCAUUUAAAAAUAAUUGCAGAAUUUCAGCAUUGCUAAAAAGCUAUGGAAACUAUAGUAUGUACCAAGCUCUAGAGCAGGGGUCCUCACACUUUUUAACCAGGGGGCCAGCGCGCGGAUGCAGUGUCAGGCAGCCAUCUGCGGCUGCUUGGCUUCCCCCCCAACCCCCGGCAGGGGGUGGGGUGGGUGGGGGGAGUCUCUAAAUACCGGGGGCCGGAUUGAGGACCCUGGGGGGCCGUAUCUGGCCCGCGGGCUGUAGUUUGAGGACCCCUGCUGUAGAGCAAACCCAUUUCUUCCUCAGUCUUUCCCUCUUCCCGCUAGUUGUUAUCUAUUUAUAACGGUUUUUAUGCUAUUUUUCAGAUUCAUAAAAUACGGCAUUACAAGACGCUACUUUUUUUUGAUUAAGAAAUUAUUCAAGCAAGAGUUUGUGAGCCUAUAGAGGUAGCCAGUCACACAUAAAGGAAAGCAGAAAAGCAAUCAAAAACCUAAUCUGCAUCUGGAGAAUGGCCUUUUCUAUUGCUCCAAGUUUUCUAUAAUAAUAUAAAAAGGUCAGGAUGAGAACUGCAGGGCACAGUGUCUUGAGUUCAGAGAAGCUGAUGUAACAACUCGCUGCCUCCUGAAAGGAAAAGGGUCUGCUGUUCCUCCACUUUAUCUUCCUGACGCCAAGGGAGCCCCCUCCUGCUUACCUGCCCUCAGCUUUGGCCAUCACUGUACUUCUUAGCAGGCUGAUCCACUCGCUAGCUCAGCAAAGCAGUUCUACAUUUUUUUUGACAGUCAGGAAACUGAACUGUGGACCUUCAUGGGAGGGUCCAAAAUGGAUCACUUCAAGCACUUACCCAGGAUCUAAUGACAGAAGCACAUAGAAGGAAGACAGAGGGAAAAUGCACCUCCUUAUGUAGCAACAGGCUGUCAGAUUAGCUCAGCUACUGUGCAAUUGCCAGUUAAGUGUUGAGUAUGUAAGUUCCAUUGUAAAUUUGUUUCAUACUCUUAAAAUUUAAGCACCUGGUACGUCAGAAGUGAAUUUUCCUGAAACAAAUCCGAUGCCUCUUCUUUCUAAACAUACAGCAUGGAAUAUAUAGUGGUACUGGGACACAGGCUGACUACUACAUUGCAGCAGUAAUUGUCUAGCUUGUGGACACUACUAACAUAGAAAUUUGUUCAAGAAAAUCAGAAAAAUACCCGCAGUAGAAUAGCCUGAAAGACAAGUUCCUAUCUGACCUUUUUCUAAUGCUUAUUUGCUGAGCGUAACUCUUGAUUCUC